ACGCUGGCGGCAGGCCUAACACAUGCAAGUCGAGCGGUAGAGAGAAGCUUGCUUCUCUUGAGAGCGGCGGACGGGUGAGUAAUGCCUAGGAAUCUGCCUGGUAGUGGGGGAUAACGUCCGGAAACGGACGCUAAUACCGCAUACGUCCUACGGGAGAAAGCAGGGGACCUUCGGGCCUUGCGCUAUCAGAUGAGCCUAGGUCGGAUUAGCUAGUUGGUGGGGUAAUGGCUCACCAAGGCGACGAUCCGUAACUGGUCUGAGAGGAUGAUCAGUCACACUGGAACUGAGACACGGUCCAGACUCCUACGGGAGGCAGCAGUGGGGAAUAUUGGACAAUGGGCGAAAGCCUGAUCCAGCCAUGCCGCGUGUGUGAAGAAGGUCUUCGGAUUGUAAAGCACUUUAAGUUGGGAGGAAGGGCAGUAAAUUAAUACUUUGCUGUUUUGACGUUACCCGACAGAAUAAGCACCGGCUAACUCUGUGCCAGCAGCCGCGGUAAUACAGAGGGUGCAAGCGUUAAUCGGAAUUACUGGGCGUAAAGCGCGCGUAGGUGGUUCGUUAAGUUGGAUGUGAAAUCCCCGGGCUCAACCUGGGAACUGCAUUCAAACUGACGAGCUAGAGUAUGGUAGAGGGGUGGUGGAAUUUCCUGUGUAGC
rnacentral:rRNA from 1 species